UACGAAGGGGGCUAGCGUUGCUCGGAAUCACUGGGCGUAAAGCGCGCGUAGGCGGCCACGCAAGUCGGGUGUGAAAUCCCGGAGCUCAACUCCGGAACUGCACUCGAAACUGCGCGGCUUGAGGUAGGUAGGGGAGAUCGGAAUUCCUGGUGUAGCGGUGGAAUGCGCAGAUAUCAGGAGGAACACCGGUGGCGAAGGCGGAUCUCUGGGCCGAUACUGACGCUGAGGAGCGAAAGCGUGGGGAGCGAACAGG
rnacentral:rRNA from 1 species